rnacentral:tRNA from 1 species
GGGUCCGUAACUCAGUCUGGUCAGAGUAUCAGGCUUUUAACCUGAGAGUCGCGGGUUCGAAUCCCGUCGGACCCACCA